UGGCUUAUGUGUCUUGGCUAAGGUGUCUUGGCUAAUGUGUCUUGGCUAAUGUGUCUUGGCUAAUGUGUCUUGGCUAAUGUGUCUUGGCUAAUGUGUCUUGGCUAAUGUGUCUUGGCUAAGGUGUCUUGGCUAAUGUGUCUUGGCUAAUGUGUCUUGGCUAAGGUGUCUUGGCUAAUGUGUCUUGGCUAAUGUGUCUUGGCUAAGGUGUCUUGGCUAAGGUGUCUUGGCUAAUGUGUCUUGGCUAAUGUGUCUUGGCUAAGGUGUCUUGGCUAAUGUGUCUUGGCUAAUGUGUCUUGGCCAAGGUGUCUUGGCUAAUGUGUCUUGGCUAAUGUGUCUCGGCUAAUGUGUCUUGGCUAAUGUGUCUUGGCUAAUGUGUCUUGGCUAAGGUGUCUUGGCUAAUGUGUCUCGGCUAAGGUGUCUUGGCUAAUGUGUCUUGGCUAAUGUGUCUUGGCUAAGGUGUCUUGGCUAAUGUGUCUUGGCUAAUGUGUCUUGGCUAAGGUGUCUUGGCUAAGGUGUCUUGGCUAAGGUGUCUUGGCUAAUGUGUCUUGGCUAAUGUGUCUUGGCUAAUGUGUCUUGGCUAAUGUGUCUCGGCUAAGGUGUCUUGGCUAAGGUGUCUUGGCUAAUGUGUCUUGGCUAAUGUGUCUUGGCUAAGGUGUCUUGGCUAAUGUGUCUUGGCUUAUGUGUCUUGGCUAAGGUGUCUUGGCGAAUGUGUCUUGGCUAAUGUGUCUUGGCUAAGGUGUCUUGGCUAAGGUGUCUUGGCUAAUGUGUCUUGGCUAAGGUGUCUUGGCUAAUGUGUCUUGGCUAAUGUGUCUUGGCUAAUGUGUCUUGGCUAAGGUGACUUGGCUAAUGUGUCUUGGCUAAUGUGUCUUGGCUAAUGUGUCUUGGCUAAUGUGUCUUGGCUAAGGUGUCUUGGCUAAGGUGUCUUGGCUAAUGUGUCUCGGCUAAUGUGUCUUGGCUAAUGUGUCUUGGCUAAGGUGUCUUGGCUAAGGUGUCUUGGCUAAUGUGUCUUGGCUAAUGUGUCUUGGCUAAGGUGUCUUGGCUAAGGUGUCUUGACUAAUGUGUCUUGGCUAAGGUGUCUUGGCUAAGGUGUCUUGGCUAAUGUGUCUUGGCUAAGGUGUCUUGGCUAAUGUGUCUUGGCUAAUGUGUCUCGGCUAAGGUGUCUUGGCUAUGGUGUCUCGGCUAAUGUGUCUUGGCUAAUGUGUCUUGGCUAAUGUGUCUUGGCUAAGGUGUCUUGGCUAUGGUGUCUUGGCUAAUGUGUCUUGGCUAAUGUGUCUUGGCUAAGGUGUCUUGGCUAAUGUGUCUCGGCUAAGGUGUCUUGGCUUAUGUGUCUCGGCUUAUGUGUCUUGGCUAAUGUGUCUUGGCUAAUGUGUCUUGGCUAAAGUGUUUUGGCUAAUGUGUCUUUUCUAAGGUGUCUUGGCUAAGGUGUCUUGGCUAAUGUGUCUUGGCUAAUGUGUCUUUUCUAAGGUGUCUUGGCUAAGGUGUCUUGGCUAAUGUGUCUUGGCUAAGGUGUCUUGGCUAAUGUGUCUUGGCUAAGGUGUCUUGGCUAAGGUGUCUUGGCUAAGGUGUCUUGGCUAAGGUGUCUUGGCUAAGGUGACUUGGCUAAUGUGUCUUGGCUAAGGUGUCUUGGCUAAGGUGUCUUGGCUAAUGUGUCUUGGCUAAGGUGUCUUGGCUAAUGUGUCUUGGCUAAGGUGUCUUGGCUAAGGUGUCUUGGCUAAGGUGUCUUGGCUAAGGUGUCUUGGCUAAGGUGUCUUGGCUAAGGUGUCUUGGCUAAGGUGUCUUGGCUAAGGUGUCUUGGCUAAGGUGU